rnacentral:rRNA from 1 species
CCUACGGGAGGCUGCAGUGGGGAAUAUUGGACAAUGGGGGAAACCCUGAUCCAGCGACGCCGCGUGAGUGAAGAAGUAUUUCGGUACGUAAAGCUCUAUCAGCAGGAAAGAAAAUGACGGUACCUGACUAAGAAUCCCCGGCUAACUACGUGCCAGCAGCCGCGGUAAUACGUAGGGGGCAAGCGUUAUCCGGAUUUACUGGGUGUAAAGGGAGCGUAGACGGCAGCGCAAGUCUGGAGUGAAAUGCCGGGGCCCAACCCCCGGACUGCACUGGAAACUGGAAGGCUGGAGUGCAGGAGAGGUAAGCGGAAUUCCUAGUGUAGCGGUGAAAUGCGUAGAUAUUAGGAGGAACACCAGUGGCGAAGGCGGCUUACUGGACUGCAACUGACGUUGAGGCUCGAAAGCGUGGGGAGCAAACAGGAUUAGAUACCCCGGUAGUC